rnacentral:rRNA from 1 species
UGGGGAAUAUUGGACAAUGGGCGAAAGCCUGAUCCAGCCAUGUCGCGUGUGUGAAGAAGGUCUUCGGAUUGUAAAGCACUUUAAGUUGGGAGGAAGGGCAGUAAGUUAAUACCUUGCUGUUUUGACGUUACCGACAGAAUAAGCACCGGCUAACUCUGUGCCAGCAGCCGCGGUAAUACAGAGGGUGCGAGCGUUAAUCGGAAUUACUGGGCGUAAAGCGCACGUAGGUGGCGACGUAAGUCGGGUGUGAAAGCCCCGGGCUCAACCUGGGAACUGCAUUCGAGACUGCGUUGCUGGAGUACGGAAGAGGAGGGCGGAAUUCCCGGUGUAGCGGUGAAAUGCGUAGAUAUCGGAAGGAACAUCGGUGGCGAAGGCGUCUACCUGGCCUAAUACUGACACUGAGGCACGAAAGCGUGGGGAGCAAACAGGAUUAGAUACCCAAGUAGUCCCUGAGCGGGCUGGCAAGGCGCAU